rnacentral:rRNA from 1 species
UACGAAGGGGGCUAGCGUUGUUCGGAAUUACUGGGCGUAAAGCGCACGUAGGCGGACAUUUAAGUCAGGGGUGAAAUCCCGGGGCUCAACCCCGGAACUGCCUUUGAUACUGGGUGUCUUUGAGUGUGGUAGAGGUGAGUGGAAUUGCGAGUGUAGAGGUGAAAAUUCGUAGAUAUUCGCAGGAACACCCAGUGGCGAAGGCGGCUCACUGGCCCGGUACUGACGCUGAGGUGCGAAAAGCGUGGGGGAGCAA